AUCCCUUUGGCAGCACAUAUACUAAAAUUGGAAUGAUACAGAGAAGAUUAACAUGGCCCCUGCACAAGGAUAACACACAAAUUCGUGAAGCAUUCCAUAUUUUU
rnacentral:snRNA from 1 species